AUGCUCUUCCUCCCUAAAUUGGCCAUAAAUAAUGCUAACCCCAAUUAAUCAAGGGAAACCUGAUCCCAAUCAACAAACUCAAAGCAAGAGCAAUUGCCAACAAUGAGUUCGCAGGCAGUGAGCGGUGAUCAGACCCAUCCCAUAAUUAUUUCCAAUAAUUUGCUGUACAUUUCCCAAUUCAACAACAUUAUGCGUCUUGACAGCAGAUUCAAA
rnacentral:lncRNA from 1 species